UCAGCAGGCCGCCUUAUCGCUGCCAAGUAAUUGGGAGAGGAAAGUCCGGACACCAUAGUGCAGUAUAGCGGGUAACGCCCGUCCGCAGAGAUGUGAGGACAAGUGCAACAGAAAGCAAGUACAGUUCGGCUGUAGUGAAACCAGGUAAACUCUAUACGGUGAAACGUCAUGUAAAUCGGUGCUUGAGGGCUGCACGCCCAAGCCGAAGGGUAGGCGGUUAGAGCUUUGGGGUAACCCUUUGCCUAGAUAAAUGAUAAGGAAUUCUGAUUUUUUGGAAUACAGAAUCCGGCUUAUGGCCUGCUUUUUUU
rfam:Maribacter sp. T28 contig17, whole genome shotgun sequence.